GCGCCUAUAGCUUAACUGGAUAAAGCAUCUGACUACGGAUCAGAAGACUGAGGGUUCGAAUCCUUCUGGGCGCGCCA
rnacentral:tRNA from 1 species